AGGUUAAUCUAACGUUAUCAUACUGAUCAUGCUAACUCUCUCUUUAUAUCUUCCAGGAACCUUAGGAUUCACAACUGAUGCCGACGUGAUAACAACCUCCACCCUCCCCACCACCACCAGGAUGGUCCUGUCCUUACCUUCCAGGGGGGGUCGGCUGCGCCCCUGCCUUCGUCUUCAGGCAGGAAAUGCAGGUUCGCUACCCUCGGAUUACGAACCAUGGACGGGGCCUUCCGCCAAAGAAAUUUAUAAUUAUGCUUGCUGAGUUGUCAAUAAAUGUAUGCUUCGUA